rnacentral:rRNA from 1 species
UACGGGGGGGGCAAGCGUUGUUCGGAAUUACUGGGCGUAAAGGGCUCGUAGGCGGCCAACUAAGUCAGACGUGAAAUCCCUCGGCUUAACCGGGGAACUGCGUCUGAUACUGGAUGGCUUGAGUUCGGGAGAGGGAUGCGGAAUUCCAGGUGUAGCGGUGAAAUGCGUAGAUAUCUGGAGGAACACCGGUGGCGAAGGCGGCAUCCUGGACCGAUACUGACGCUGAGGAGCGAAAGCGUGGGGAGCGAACAGGG